UUAUAAUGAGAGGCCACCUAACGAAAAUUCGCACUUCUUUGCUGGUAGUAUAAGAAUAAUACCAAUAACACCACACACCUCGGUUCUUCUUGAUGAGGACUUUCUUGAUGGAGAACUAUAACUGUCCACAAAAUUGUUCAGGUUGCUCAUGCUUCCCCUCUUCAUUUGUCACGAAUUCGGUUUCGUCCGACGACGAGAACAUUUCGUGGUGGGAUACUCCGGGAUGGGUCAUCGUCGGCAUAGUAGUCAUCGCCGUCGUAAUCUGUGGUCUCCUUUUCUACUUUCGUCGUGAUCCUGAGGACUCGCAGAGCACUCUCCCAGUAAAACUGGAUCUUACCCUGAGCCUGGAGGCGUGAAUAUUUUGUUUCCGUCGUUGUAAGGAUUCUUCCCCAAAUGACAAUAAUCUGCAAGCUUCUGGGCUUGUGUCUGUGUGAACCUCAGAAUAAUUUAUAGUGACAGGUCGUCUAUUCUAGUAUCCAACAUUGGAGAUUUGAUGCAACAAAUAAUUGUGUUGGAGGAAAAAAAAAUUGUGAUGAAGGGUUUGUUAAAUUUCGGUAGUUC